UCUUCUUUUUAAUUAAUUCUCUGCUCUGGAGGAGCAGUUUCGUGGUUUUUCAAUAUGUGAGGGUUGCCAGUACAAAAAGCAUGUGGUAAUUGUAAAAGUAAUAACCAGUCCAGCUGCAUUCCCUGUGCAGAAACUGAGAGGGACAACAAGCCAUAAAUAGUGGUGUCACCGCCACUCUUUGACUCAGUUAAGGAGUAUUAUUAUUCUAAACACAAAACAAACUAUUGCUUGGGCUCCAACUGAAAGUUUCAAAGGCUCAUAAAUCUGCCAGGUCAAAGCAAAUUUUCACUGGAAUUUUGGAAGGGAACUUCUUUAGAGAAAUAUCCAGUGCUAAUUUUAAUUUCCUUUUACUACUGGUUUUAACAGCCUCGUCCAAACUCAUUUACAUUCAAAUGUAAGAAUACAAGUUUUCCUCUGAUUCAUCUCAUUCUAUGUAUGCCUAUAGCUCAGCACUAGUCUACCAGAGCAAACAAAAGCAGAACAUCUACAGUGAGUAUGUAUUUUCCUUUAACCCAAAGCUGCUGAGAACUGUCUUUAGGCAGAGAUUGAUGUGAUAAUGCUGUUAAUUAAUUAAUUAAUGAUGAUAUUAAUUACUGAUGGGCUUUAGGUAGAAUACUGCUGCCUAAGCUGCUGUCUCCAGGGUCCCAGUCAAGGAAGGUACUUUGCCAUCAGUGUAAAACUUUUUUAGGUUUGUUCAAUAAAAAGUUUGAAAACUGCUGCCAAUGAGGAGAGUUGCUGGCUCCAAACCACAAAGAGAAAGGUUUUGAUUAUUUUCUAUUUUUUUAAUAAAAAGGAAAAAUCCUUCCAUGAGAACUCAGCAGACAUCUGAGGCAAUUUUCAGAAAAGUCUGCUCAAAAGGAAGGAUGUGUGUAUGUGCUUGCUCUCUGACUGCCCUUUCAAUAAUAAUUUUUUCCACCAGUUUUUCUGCUUCAGAGUAUCUUCCCAGUUGGAGAGGCCAGCCUUCCUGAAAGGGAGAGUGGACAGGUUGAUCCUGCACUUCUGGACUUCUUCCUCUACCAGAAUAUCUCUUAACCUUAUUAACUUAGGCUCUUAUUAAAGGGAGCUCUGUGCAGCAGUGUGCAACGCUGACGUGGUUGUCUUAUGGAAAGCACAGCUGUGAGGAUCUUCCUCCAGGAAUGGCAAAACAGAGAGCUACUAACAAUAAAAGCAAAUUUAGGCUUCA
rnacentral:lncRNA from 1 species